rnacentral:rRNA from 2 species
GCCCCGGUAAACGGCGGCCGUAACUAUAACGGUCCUAAGGUAGCGAAAUUCCUUGUCGGGUAAGUUCCGACCUGCACGAAUGGCGUAAUGAUGGCCAGGCUGUCUCCACCCGAGACUCAGUGAAAUUGAACUCGCUGUGAAGAUGCAGUGUACCCGCGGCAAGACGGAAAGACCCCGUGAACCUUUACUAUAGCUUGACACUGAACAUUGAGCCUUGAUGUGUAGGAUAGGUGGGAGGCUUUGAAGUGUGGACGCCAGUCUGCAUGGAGCCGACCUUGAAAUACCACCCUUUAAUGUUUGAUGUUCUAACGUUGGCCCGUAAUCCGGGUUGCGGACAGUGUCUGGUGGGUAGUUUGACUGGGGCGGUCUCCUCCUAAAGAGUAACGGAGGAGCACGAAGGUUGGCUAAUCCUGGUCGGACAUCAGGAGGUUAGUGCAAUGGCAUAAGCCAGCUUGACUGCGAGCGUGACGGCGCGAGCAGGUGCGAAAGCAGGUCAUAGUGAUCCGGUGGUUCUGAAUGGAAGGGCCAUCGCUCAACGGAUAAAAGGUACUCCGGGGAUAACAGGCUGAUACCGCCCAAGAGUUCAUAUCGACGGCGGUGUUUGGCACCUCGAUGUCGGCUCAUCACAUCCUGGGGCUGAAGUAGGUCCCAAGGGUAUGGCUGUUCGCCAUUUAAAGUGGUACGCGAGCUGGGUUUAGAACGUCGUGAGACAGUUCGGUCCCUAUCUGCCGUGGGCGCUGGAGAACUGAGGGGGGCUGCUCCUAGUACGAGAGGACCGGAGUGGACGCAUCACUGGUGUUCGGGUUGUCAUGCCAAUGGCACUGCCCGGUAGCUAAAUGCGGAAGAGAUAAGUGCUGAAAGCAUCUAAGCACGAAACUUGCCCCGAGAUGAGUUCUCCCUGAGACUUAGAGUCUCCUGAAGGAACGUUGAAGACGACGACGUUGAUAGGCCGGGUGUGUAAGCGCAGCGAUGCGUUGAGCUAACCGGUACUAAUGAACCGUGAGGCUUAACCUU